rnacentral:misc_RNA from 1 species
GUUUUGUUUGUUAACCUACAAUUCUAAACAUUUUAUAGAAAGAUAUACCUAGCCAGCAUUUUUUGCAGUAGUCAAAGUACAGAUCAGAGUUUCGCCAACAAGCAUUACAAGGAACUUGUGUGUCACCCGCAGCAUGUUGCUUUCCGGAUAUUUGAUUCAACCAAAUAGCCAAGUACUCAAGGAUAAUAACAGAACCAAAAAAGAAUACAAACAUGGGCCACAAUUUUCGCAUGACAUGCCGAGGUAAAAGAAUGCAAGCAGCAAGUGACGCAACAUAAAGCAAGGAGAUGGAAUUAAGCACAGCAAAGCUGGCAAGAAGCAGUGCAACCAUGUUAAUCUCAAGUCCAAAGAGAUUGAACACGUUCUCUAUCCAAAACUUCAUGCAUGCUUUUAAAGUAGUCAUCUGCAGGUGAAGUCUUUCUUUUCUCAAGAUAUGAACUCGUUUACGGUUCCACUUAUCGCUUUCUUUGGAACUUCCACAGUU